GCCGGGGUGAGGUAGCCUGGUAACCUGGGGGCCUGUGGAGCCCUUAACCCGGGUUCAAAUCCCGGCCCCGGCCCCA
rnacentral:tRNA from 1 species